GCUUCUCUCCUAUAUCCCAGAACCUUCUCUACACUCUAAAUCAUGGCUUCUUAUACACCAUGCAGAAUUCUUAAAAUGAAUUUAUAAUGUGCACUAUUUAAAAUGUUCCCUUUGUUGCCGUUGAACAUGGGAAAAUGUAGAUAUUCAAGAUUCCCAUUGGCAGAAAGCUGGGGUCCUUAGUAAAGAUAAAUAACAUGUAAUGUUGUGGCUUCAUCUGUUUUCUCCAUUAACUCUAUGCAGAACAGGAUUAAUAAAAUACUUAUUUAAACAGGAUGGCGUUUAUUACCGUGAAAAUUCUGAAAAAAAGUUAUUGAGAGAUACCUGCUCUCUCGGGUGCUAAAGAAAGACUACUUUAAAAUGUUAUUAAAAAUUACAGAACAUAGAAGAUACCUGCAUUUUGAACUCUGCAUAAAACUGAUUUUUCUGUGUGGUUAAAUUCAGACUAUAAUUUACUUUUCGAGGGGCAAUAUCUCAGCAGUGAUGAUGUGUUCUUCUGUGUGCAUCAGCACAUCAUAAACAUUUGUCCUAAUGCAGUUGAUUUUAAAAUUUACUUAAAGCGCUCUCUGAAAUAUUUAUUUCACUAUAGAGUUAAUUAUUUUUCUCUUCAUUAUUAAGUAUCUUUAUGUAGCUAAGGAAAAGCUGUGCAUAAACCAUCACAUUUAAUCUGGCAGUUGCCUUUCUUUCUUAGGUUUUCCUUGCAUAUAUCUGUCUUUGGAAAAUGAAGACUCUUGUCUUUGUUUACAGGGCAGAAAAAUUGAGUAAAACACAGGUUCUUCCACUUACUGGAUGUUUGACAAAAUAUUCUUUCUGGGCCAAACACAUUGGCAUUACUAGUGAGUUUGUUAGAAAUUCAUAAACUCAGAGUUUAUUUCAGAUCUUCUGGGAAAAAAAUCUGCACAAGAUCUCCAGUUCAUUGUUCACAUUAAAGCUUGAGAGGUGCCUUCUAACUCAACAUAUCUUUUUUGUCUGAAAAAUAUACACAACUCAUUCCUUGUGUGGCAAAUAUAGCACUAAAAAAUGUACAUGUUUGUGUUUAUGCCUUUAGUUUUAUACUUUACUAUUCAUAAAAGUAUAUAUACACUGGUGUUGUAGAUUUUAUACCAUUCUCUCAGAGAAUACAUUAGAGAAUAUUUCUGUGUUGAAAUUUGUUGGAUAAUUUCAGUCAUUCUUGUAAGUCAGACGAAUUUUCUUUACUCUUUCAUUUAACCUUAAUUCAAAUGAUAAAUUUUGCCCACGUGUAAAUGUGUGUGUGUGUGUGUGUGUGUGUGUGUGUUUGUUUGUUUCAGGGGCCAUUGACAUUUAGGGAUGUGGCCAUAGAAUUCUCUCUGGAGGAGUGGCAAUGCCUGGACACUGCUCAGCAAGAUUUGUAUAGGAAAGUGAUGUUAGAGAACUACAGAAACCUGGUCUUCUUGGGUAUUGCUGUCUCUAAGCCAGAUCUGGUCACCUGUCUGGAGCAAGGAAAAGAUCCCUGGAAUAUGAAGAGACACAGUAUGGUAGUCAAACCCCCAGUUAUAUGUUCUCAUUUUGCUGAAGACUUUUGCCCAGGGCCAGGCAUUAAAGAUUCUUUUCAAAAAGUGAUACUGAGAGAAUAUGUAAAAUGUGGACAUAAGGAUUUACAGUUAAGAAAAGGCUGUAAAAGUAUGAAUGAGUGUAAUGUGCACAAAGAAGGUUAUAAUGAACUAAACCAGUGUUUGACAACUACCCAGAGCAAAAUAUUUCAAUGUGAUAAAUAUGUGAAAGUCUUUCAUAAACUUUUAAAUUCAAAUAGACAUAACACAAGACAUACUGGAAAGAAACCUUUCAAAUGUAAAAAAUGUGGCAAAUCAUUUUGCAUGCUUUUACACCUACGUCAGCAUAAAAGAAUUCAUAUUGGAGAGAAUUCUUACCAAUGUGAAGAAUGUGGCAAAGCCUUUAUCUGGUUUUCAACCCUUACUAGACACAGGACAGUUCAUACUGGAGAGAAAUCCUACAAAUACGAAGAAUGUGGCAAUGCUUUUAACCAGGACUCAAACCUUACUACACAUAAGAGAAUUCAUACUGGACCGAAACCCUACAAAUGUGAAGAAUGUGGCACAGCUUUCUACCAAUUCUCAUACCUUACUAGGCAUAAGCUAAUUCAUACUGGAGAGAAACCCUAUAAAUGUGAACAAUAUGACAAAACUUUUAACCAGUCUUCAACCUUUACUAGACAUAAGAUAAUUCAUACUGGAGAAAAACCUUAUAAAUGUGAAGAAUGUGGCAAAGCCUUUAGUAUUUUCUCAACCCUUACUAAACAUAAGAUAAUUCACACUGAAGAGAAAUCCCACAGACGUGAAGAAUAUGGCAAAGCUUAUAAGGAGUCUUCACACCUUACUACACAUAAAAGAAUUCAUACUGGAGAGAAACCCUACAAAUGUGAAGAAUGUGGCAAAACCUUUAGUGUAUUCUCAAUCCUUACUAAACAUAAAAUAAUUCAUACAGAAGAGAAACCCUACAAAUGUGAAGAAUGUGGCAAAGCUUUUAAACGAUCUUCAACCCUUACUAAACAUAGGAUAAUUCAUACUGAAGAGAAACCCUACAAAUGUGAAGAAUGUGGCAAAGCUUUUAACCAAUCUUCAACCCUUACUAUACAUAAAAUAAUUCAUACUGGAGAAAAACCCUACAAAUGUGAAGAAUGUGGCAAAGCUUUUCAACGAUCUUCAACCCUUACUAUACAUAAAAUGAUUCAUACUGGAGAAAAACCCUACAAAUGUGAAGAAUGUGGCAAAGCUUUUAAUCGGUCCUCACACCUUACUACACAUAAGAGAAUUCAUACUGGACAGAAACCCUACAAAUGUAAAGAAUGUGGCAAAUCCUUUAGUGUAUUCUCAACCCUUACUAAACAUAAGAUAAUUCAUACUGAUGAGAAACCCUACAAAUGUGAAGAUUGCGGCAAAGCUUUUAACCGAUCUUCAAUCCUUAGUAUACAUAAGAAAAUUCAUACUGGAGAAAAACCCUACAAAUGUGAAGAAUGUGGCAAAGCUUUUAAGCGGUCCUCACACCUUGCUGGGCAUAAGCAAAUUCAUAGUGUACAAAAACCCUACAAAUGUGAAGAAUGUGGCAAAGCCUUUAGUAUAUUCUCAACCCUUACUAAACAUAAGAUAAUUCAUACUGAAGAGAAACCCUACAAAUGUGAAAAAUGUGGCAAAACUUUCUACCGAUUCUCAAACCUUAAUACGCAUAAGAUAAUUCAUACUGGAGAGAAACCUUGCAAAUGUGAAGAAUGUGGCAAAGCUUUUAACCAUUCCUCAAACCUUACUAAACAUAAGCUAAUUCAUACUGGAGACAAACCCUACAAAUGUGAAGAAUGUGGCAAAGCUUUUAGGCGGUCUUCACAUCUUAGUAGACAUAAGAUAAUUCAUGUUGGAAUUCAUACUGAAGAGAUUCUACCAAAGUGUAAAGAAUGUGGCAAAGCUUUUCACCAGUACUUUACCCUUACUACACAUAAGAUAAUUCAUGCUGGAGAGAAACCCUACAAAUGUGAAGAAUGUGGCAAAGAUUUCUAUUGAUUCUCGUACCUUACUAAAUAUAAGAUAAUUCAUAUUGGAGAGAAAUUCUACAGAUGUGAAGAAUGUGGCAAAGUCCUUAAUUAGUUCUCAUCCCUUACUAAACAUAAGAGAAUUCAUACCAUAGAGAAAUCCUACAAAUGUGAAGAAUGUGACAAAGCUUUUAACCACUUCUCAACCAUGCUUACAUAUAAGAUAAUUCAUACUGGAAGGAAACCCUACAAAUAUGAAGAAUGUCUCAAAGCUUUUUACUGAUUCUUAUACCUUACUAAACAUAAAAUAAUUCAUAAAGGAGAGAAAUUAUACAAAUGUGAAGAAUGUGGCAAAGCUUUUAACAAAUCCUCAUAUAUUAGUAAACAUAAGAUAAUUCAUACUGGAGAGAAAACCUACACAUGUGAAGAAUGUGGCAAAGCUUUAGCCUGUCCCUCCAACUUACUGCACAUAAGAUAAUUUAUACUGGAGAGAAGCCCUACAAAUGUGAAAAAUGUGGCAAACCUUUUAACCAAUCCUCAACCCUUACUACACAUUAGAUAAUUCAUACUGGAGAGAAACCCUACAAACGUGAAAAAUGUGGCAAAGCUUUUAACCAAUUUUCAAACCUUACUAAACAUAACUCAUACUAGAGAAAAAUCUUACAAAUGUGAAGAAUGUGGUAAAGCUUUUAUCCAGUCCUCAACUCCUACUAAACAUAAUGAUGGAGAGAAACCGUACAACUGUGAAGAAUGUGGCCAAGCUUUUAACCGGUCCCCAAACCUUAUUGAACAAAAUAAUUCAUACAGGAGAGAAACCCUACACAUGUGAAGAAUGUGACAAAGCCUUUAACCAGUCCUCAAUUUUUACUAAACGUAAGAAAAUUCAUACUGGAGAGAAACCCUAUGAUUGUGAAAAAUAUGGCAAAGGCUUUAACUAGUCCUCAGUUCUUAACACACAUACGAUAAUUCAUACUAGAGAGAAACUCUACAAACCAGUAAGAUGUGACAGUGCCUCUGACAACAUCUCAAACUUUUCUAAUCAUAAAAGAAAUAUUGGUGAGAAAUCCUAAAAAUGUAGAG